rnacentral:rRNA from 1 species
GACGAACGCUGGCGGCGUGCCUAAUAUAUGCAAGUAGAACGCUGAAGAGAGGAGCUUGCUCUUCUUGGAUGAGUUGCGAACGGGUGAGUAACGCGUAGGUAACCUGCCUUGUAGCGGGGGAUAACUAUUGGAAACGAUAGCUAAUACCGCAUAACAAUGGAUGACACAUGUCAUUUAUUUGAAAGGGGCAAUUGCUCCACUACAAGAUGGACCUGCGUUGUAUUAGCUAGUAGGUGAGGUAAUGGCUCACCUAGGCGACGAUACAUAGCCGACCUGAGAGGGUGAUCGGCCACACUGGGACUGGGACACGGCCCAGACUCCUACGGGAGGCAGCAGUAGGGAAUCUUCGGCAAUGGGGGCAACCCUGACCGAGCAACGCCGCGUGAGUGAAGAAGGUUUUCGGAUCGUAAAGCUCUGUUGUAAGUCAAGAGCGGGUGUGAGAGUGGAAAGUUCACACUGUGACGGUAGCUUACCAGAAAGGGACGGCUAACUACGUG